rnacentral:misc_RNA from 1 species
AUAAUGUGAAAUGUUUCAGGGUCUCCAGCAGUAUUUGAAACAGCUACUAGUUUGUUUCCUUGAGUUUCCAAUCCCACAAACUGCUUGUUCAGCACCCUCAAAUUGAAAUAUGUGUCAUUGAUCCUCCACAAUCUGAAAGUUUCCCAGUCAGAAGGACUGGGGCGAUUGGCUACAAAAGAGGUUCCACCUCCAUUUUCUGCGCAAAGAUACUUCUGCAGCUUUGUAGACUUCAACUGGACAUGAGUUCCAUCCAGAAGAUCUUUGUUGGUGAUUCCAUCAAAGAUAGAAGGAUUCAUCCAGCCUUCNUUCUGUGACGAGCCAAUUUCCUAAAUUCACAGCUUUAAAUGGCUGUGCCUGGGAAACUGUGAAGUAAAC